AAACCCCCAGGAAGAACAACAGGGAUUACCUUAGUAACGGCGAGUGAAGCGGUAACAGCUCAAAUUUGAAAUCUGGCUCUCGUAGGGCCCGAGUUGUAAUUUGGAGAAGAUGCUUUGGGUGCGGCCCGGGUCUAAGUUCCUUGGAACAGGACGUCAGAGAGGGUGAGAAUCCCGUAUGUGAUUGGGUGCCCGCGCCCGUGUAAAGCUCUUUCGACGAGUCGAGUUGUUUGGGAAUGCAGCUCAAAAUGGGUGGUAUAUUUCAUCUAAAGCUAAAUAUGGGCCAGAGACCGAUAGCGCACAAGUAGAGUGAUCGAAAGAUGAAAAGCACUUUGGAAAGAGAGUUAAACAGUACGUGAAAUUGUUGAAAGGGAAGCGCUUGCAACCAGACUUGCGUGCGGCCCGUCACCUGGUGCUCGCACCGGGGCACUGGGUCGCGCGCAGGCCAGCAUCGGUUUGGGUGGUUGGAGAAAGGCCGGGAGAACGUGGCUCCCCUCGGGGAGUGUUACAGCUCUCGGUGCCAUGCAGCCUAUCCAGACCGAGGACCGCGCUCCGGCUAGGAUGCUGGCGUAAUGGUUGCAAGCGACCCGUCUUGAAACACGGACCAAGGAGUCUAACAUCUAUGCGAGUGUUUGGGUGGCAAACCCAUGCGCGGAAUUAACGUGAACGGAGGUGAGAACCCUUCAUGGUGCAUCAUCGACCGAUCCUGAUGUCUUCGGAUGGAUUUGAGUAAAGAGCAUAGCUGUUGGGACCCGAAAGAUGGGGAAAUAUGCUCAAACAAGGUAAAACCAGAAGAAUCUCAG
rnacentral:rRNA from 2 species